rnacentral:rRNA from 1 species
GAGCUUCCCAUACGGGUUGAAGCAUGACCGUAAGGACAUGUGGACAGUAUGGGAGUGAGAAUGUUGGCAUGAGUAGCGAGAUGUGGGUGAGAAUCCCACAGGCCGUAAACCCAAGGUUUCCAGGGGAAGGUUCGUCCGCCCUGGGUUAGUCGGGACCUAAGCUGAGGCCGAAAGGCGUAGGUGAUGGACAACAGGUUGAUAUUCCUGUACUACCGAUAACCGUUUGAGAGAAGGGAUGACACAGUAGGAUAAGCUAAGCACACUGUUGGUUAUGUGUGCCCAAGCAUUGAGGCAGUCAAAGUAGGCAAAUCCGCUUUGAUAAUGCUGGGAUGUGAUGGGGAGCGAAAUUUAGUAGCGAAGUAGCUGAUUUCACACUGUCAAGAAAAGUCUCUAUCGAGGUUAAAGGUACCCGUACCGCAAACCGACACAGGUGGGUGAGGAGAGUAUCCUAAGGCCAGCGAGAGAACUGUUGUUAAGGAACUCGGCAAAAUGACCCCGUAACUUAGGGAUAAGGGGUGCCACCAUCAGGUGGCCGCAGAGAAUAGGCCCAAGCGACUGUUUACCAAAAACAUAGGUUUCUGCUAAGUCGCAAGACGAUGUAUAGGAGCUGACGCCUGCCCGGUGCUGGAAGGUUAAGGGGAUCUGUUAGAGCAAUCGAAGCAGUGAACUUAAGCCCCAGUAAACGGCGGCCGUAACUAUAACGGUCCUAAGGUAGCGAAAUUCCUUGUCGGGUAAGUUCCGACCCGCACGAAAGGCGUAACGAUUUGGGCACUGUCUCAACAACAGACUCGGUGAAAUUGUAAUUCCGGUGAAGAUGCCGGAUACCUGCGACAGGACGGAAAGACCCCAUGGAGCUUUACUGUAGCUUGACAUUGGGUCUUGGUACUACAUGUACAGGAUAGGUGGGAGGCUUUGAAACCAGGACGCCAGUUUUGGCGGAGCCAUCCUUGGGAUACCACCCUUGUAGUACUGGGACUCUAACCAUAGGCCAUGAAUCUGGUCUUGGGACACUGUCAGGUGGGCAGUUUGACUGGGGCGGUCGCCUCCCAAAAGGUAACGGAGGCGCUCAAAGGUUCUCUCAGUACGGUCGGAAAUCGUACGUAGAGUGUAAAGGCAAAAGAGAGCUUGAUUGCAAGACAUACAGGUCGAGCAAGGAUGAAAAUCGGACUUAGUGAUCCGGUGGUUCUGCGUGGAAGGGCCAUCGCUCAACGGAUAAAAGCUACCCUGGGGAUAACAGGCUUAUCUCCCCCAAGAGUCCACAUCGACGGGGAGGUUUGGCACCUCGAUGUCGGCUCAUCACAUCCUGGGGCUGUAGUAGGUCCCAAGGGUUGGGCUGUUCGCCCAUUAAAGUGGUACGCGAGCUGGGUUCAGAACGUCGUGAGACAGUUCGGUCCCUAUCCGUCGCAGGCGUAGGAAAUUUGAGAAGACCUGUCCUUAGUACGAGAGGACCGGGAUGGACGUACCUCUGGUGUACCAGUUGUCCUGCCAAGGGCAUGGCUGGGUAGCUAUGUACGGAAUGGAUAAGCGCUGAAAGCAUCUAAGCGCGAAGCCAACUUCAAGAUAAGAUUUCCCACCGCAAGGGUAAGACCCCAGAAAGACUAUCUGGUUGAUAGGUCGAAGGUGUAAGUGUAGCAAUGUAUUUAGCUUAUCGAUACUAAUAGGUCGAGGACUUGACCAA